AAUAAACCAAUUUUUCAUUUUUUAUUUUUAGUUUUUGACUUUUCGUCUUAUUCAAAAAAAAUUUAAAAUUGAUAUUUUUGUUUUUAUUAGAUAAUAAAUCAUGAAUAGUACUUUACGUGUGACUAUUUUUUUCUAAUUUUCUAAAAAAAAUUUAAAUAAGACCGAUGAUCAAACGUUGGACAUGAAAAUCGGAG
rnacentral:pre_miRNA from 1 species